AUCAGAGAAAAGAAUCACCACUUACCUCUUAGCUUCACCGCUUAAUUGGGAUGUCAUCCACCGCCGCCCACACCUUCCUCUCUCUUUCUCCACUGUUCUUUUCCCCUCCUAUUUUGUCUGAUCAGAUACAUGAGCUGAACAUGUAUUCAGCAAAUUUUUCAUCUUUCCUUCAAUAUCUAAAGAGCCCCAAAGCCUCAAAUUUGUCAACGAAGUAAUUGAGUUGAGGAACUCCUAUUUUAUUUGCGACUCUCGACCACGUGAUGGUUAUGUGGAUAUUGGACAGAUUGUGAUUCAAACGUUAGACAAAAUGGUUCAAGUUAUAGCUCUCCCUUAUAGCUCAAGUUGACGACGGGGAUGCAGUUGAUAUUGGAGUGGACAUGCCAUUGAUAUUAUAGCAGCAUCAUUCCAUCUCUAAGACGUUAUCAGGCGGUGACUAUCGAUCCCAGAGAAGUGAAAGAAGCAAAGGAACUGAAGACAGAUGAUCAGAAUUGAGAAUACUGUAAGUACAACUAACCUGGAGUUAAAUAGGAGUAAAUCUUGCCAUGAUCUUUGCUUCUACGUAGUGGUGUUAGUGUCAGUAAUUUACGGGAUUUUGGUUAUAGGAUUAUUAGUAUUUUUCUAGUUUCACCUUCUUGGAAGUGAAUAAAAUACGACAUGUUUUUCAUUAAUAUUUUAAAAAUUACGAAAUAUAUAUACAUAUAGCACUUAAAGAACGACAUUCCGUUUGAUCCUACUAUUCAUGAAACUGAAACUUUAAAUUUGGUUGUUUAACAUUACAAAAGCUAAAAUAAAAUAAGAUAAAGGAUAAUCCAUAAACAAACUUCAUGCUGUUUUCCAAGGUUCCACUGCCACACUCCUUAAACAUGAAAAACAUAAAAUUGACAAUUAGAUAAAUGUAAAGCAAUGUAAUUUUUUAGGUUCAAUAAUUUGUGUUAUAUAAAUAUAUAAGAGUAAUAUAAGUAAAAAUAAUGUAGUACCUGAAUAUGAGUCAUCGUUAUCUUAUUUGUUGAAAAAUCUCCUUAAAAACAACAUUUGUUGUUUUUGUUUCUCUGUUCCCAUCCUCAUCAAC